rnacentral:rRNA from 1 species
AGACAACUAGGAUGUUGGCUUAGAAGCAGCCAUACAUUUAAAGAGUGCGUAAUAGCUCACUAGUCGAGAAAACCUGCGCCGAAAAUGUAACGGGGCUAAAACACGACACCGAAGCUACGGAUUUCCUACUAGGUAGGAAGUGGUAGAGGAGCAUCCUGCAAGGACGAAGCCAAAGUGAGAGCGAUGGUGGACGAAACAGGAGAGAGAAUGCCGGAAUGAGUAGCGAGAUACAUGUGAGAAACAUGUAGGCCGAAUAUCUAAGGAUUCCUGGGUAAAGCUAAUCUUCCCAGGGUUAGUCGGGGCCUAAGGCGAGGACGAGAGUCGUAGUCGAUGGAUAACAGGUUGAUAUUCCUGUACUACACAUAAUCAGAACUGUGGGGACGCAGGAGGAUAGGGAAACCGGGGAAUGGAAAGACCCGGUCAAGCGCAAAGCUGUGGGAGAUAGGCAAAUCCGUCUCCUGUAAGUGAAGCGUGAUGAGGACUGAAAAAAAGUAAGGAAGUUUCCGAAUCCACACUGCCGAGAAAAGCCGCUAUUGCGUUAUGUGUACCCGUACCGUAAACCGACACAGGUAGAUGAGGAGAAAAUCCACAGGCCGACGGGAGAAGUGUUGUUAAGGAACUCGGCAAAAUGACCCCGUAACUUCGGGAUAAGGGGAGCCUCGCAAGAGGCCGCAGAAAAGAGGCACAAGCAACUGUUUAGCAAAAACAUAGGUCUAUGCGAAACCGUAAGGUGAAGUAUAUGGGCUGACGCCUGCCCGGUGCUGGAAGGUUAAGAGGAGAGGUCAGAGCAAUCGAAGCCUUGAAUUUAAGCCCCAGUAAACGGCGGCCGUAACUAUAACGGUCCUAAGGUAGCGAAAUUCCUUGUCAGGUAAGUUCUGACCCGCACGAAAGGCGUAAUGAUUUGUGCACUGUCUCGACAACACGCCCGGUGAAAUUGAAGAACCAGUGAAGAUACUGGUUACCCGCAACAGGACGGAAAGACCCCAUGGAGCUUUACUGCAGCCUGAUACUGGGAUUCGAUGAUAUAUGUACAGGAUAGGUGGGAGGCUAAGAAGCGAGAACGCUAGUUUUCGUGGAGCCGCCGGUGGGAUACCACUCUUAUGUCAUUGGAUUUCUAACCUGCAUCCGUAAUCCGGGUGAGGGACAAUGUCAGGCGGGCAGUUUGACUGGGGCGGUCGCCUCCUAAAAGGUAACGGAGGCGCUCGAAGGUCACCUCAGAAUGAUUGGAAACCAUUCAAAGAGUGUAAAGGCAAAAGGUGGCUUGACUGCGAGAGCGACGGCUCGAGCAGGUACGAAAGUAGGACUUAGUGAUCCGGUGGUAAUAAGUGGGAAUGCCAUCGCUCAACGGAUAAAAGCUACCCUGGGGAUAACAGGCUUAUCUCCCCCAA